CAGAAGCAGAGCCGUGGAGCCAGACAGACCCUGGCUCUGGACUGUGGCCAGCGAGCCUGUUCUCCCGGGCCAGGCCUGCCCAGCUUCCCCUCCCUGCCCCCAAGCCAUGCUUGGGUCCCUACACCAGUAGAGAGCGGCCAGUUCCUGCCCAGGUUUCCCCUACAGUCUCCAACUCUCCUGGCCUGAGCCCCAUCCUUUUUACUUAGACUGAGGCAGCCUAAAGGGAGCGUCCUCAGACACACUGCUCCUUCCUCCUCCUCCAGUGUCUGGCUUCAGCCCCUUUGGAGCUUUCCUGUCUGUGAUGGGGAAGAAAUGGCCUCCUGACUCACCUCCCCUGAGACUCCAUCCGUCUGUCUGUCUGGACUUUAGUCCCCUCCCUCUUCCUGUCCAAGUUGUUCUAAGCUAGUUUUGCUAGACAUUCUCUUGUCACUCUUAGAAACUUUUCUCUUUCUCUCCUGCCAGUGUGGAAGGUACACUGCCCCCUUCCCUAAGCCCCUGUAGACUGUCUUAUUGUUUCCAGGCCCACAGAGGUCUUCCUAUAACUGUACUACAUGCCCUGGCUGCCUGCACCCCCACCCCCAAAGGCUGUCUAUUCCUCUCCAUGUUCCCCCUGACAUCCCUUGUGUGUUUGAGUUUCCCUUCCAGCCUCCUCAGGGUCAGCCCUUUCAAAGUUAUCUUUUAUUUUUCAAGACAGGGUUUCUCUGUGUAGCCCUGGCUGACCUGGAACUAGCUCUUGUAGACCAGGCUGGCUUCGAACUCACAGAGAUCCACCUGCCUCUGCCUCCCGAGUGCUGGGAUUAAAGGUGUGCGCCACAAAUGCCCAGCAUAAAGCCAUCUGCUCAUGUGCUGACCACACUGCUUCAGUCUGUAUACCUCUCCGUCACAGAGCUCUAGCGCCUCUUCUCUUCGGAUAACUAGGUGACCACCCCCAAAUUCCUGCCCAAGGCAUGCUGGGAUGUUCUGCUGACAGGCAACAACUGCAGCUCUCCCGAUCCUGCCCCUGACCAUCACUGCUUGGGUCUCAUGACACCACAUCUGACCAGUUCGGGGCUCGCAGGAGCCUCUUGCUUCAGCCCCUCAAGUAGCUACAAGUAUAUCACACACACAACGAAACAAAGAAAAGGAAAAGGAAGGUGGCGGCGGCGGUAGCAGAGUCCAGCGGCUGUGCUCACCUUGAUGGCCUGCCCGAAGAAGCCCUUGCCCAGGACCUCCCCGUG